AUGGCUGCGGCCGCGCUCGGCCCCGCCCCCCAGCCUCUCUCCCAGGGCCGCUCGCUAUUGGCUCGCACCCGAAGCCGCGCACGCGGACUGGGCAGCCUGAAAGACUGUUGCUAGGGCGCCGGGAUUCGCUUCGGGCGGCUUCCUGAAUGGGCAAGGGGCGGGGAAGAGGCGGGGCAUUGUCCUGGGUGAGGAGGGUGGCCAGUCUGUUCUGUGGUUGAAGUAACUGAUGGGCUGUGUGCCAGUGGGUCGAUUGCAGGAUGCCUAGGAUAAGGCUAAACUCCAGAAAUAUUUGCAGAUUUGUUUGCCUUAAAGAAGAUGCAUAUUGGUCAGUGCUGACCCCUCUGAAGGAAUUUUACUACAAGACUUUGCUCUUAUACAACAAGCUUUAAAAUAUUGGGGAGUGGUUGUUGCUCCAGAAAAGAUUCAAAGACAAUAUCCUUUUCAAUAUUUGGGACAUCAGUUAUAUC